AUUGAACAAAGAAAAUUCAGAGGCGACUUCAACAGAAGGAUUAAGUUAUUUGACCUCUAAUUAAAAGCAUCACGCUGUAUAGAGCAGAGAUAUGGGAUCGGAAAGAGCAAUGCAGGCUGGAGGUGAUACAGAAUAAGUAUCUCAGAUGAAUAUUAAGGCUCAAGUGGAACAACUCAAGAUACAUUGUAAAGGCUGAAACAAAUAGAAACAAAAUCAGAGUAGAAGCAGGAAUCUGACGACUAGUAUUCGUAUCGCUCCACUUACCGAAGAGCAGCCUCUGCUAUUUUCAUUCCUCGUCACCAUUAUUCGCUAGACAAACCGUGGAGUGAGAUGUCAGUUUAAUGUCGGAGACUGAAGUUGUUAGACGUCGCGAAACGACGUUUGGUAGUCACGUUUAUUAUUGUUCGAUCACAGAGAAAAUUUCCAGAUAUGGCAGGAUAUCAUCAAUUUCAGAUCGCUAUUUCUUUUAUUGCCCAGCUCUGUUUAACAGACAAAAAAAUGGACAGAUCUCAUUUGGUUCCCAACAUUCGAAAUGCCUCUUCAGUCCAAUCUAUUUACGACGAAGGGGACAACCACCGUCGAGGAGGCGUGAUCUAAACACCCAGGAUCGGUUCAUUUUCCCAUAACCUUUCCUAGUACAGGAGUACAAAUUCCAAAGGACUAGCAUCGAUUCUUCAGCCCAUUCUUUGUAACAUCUCUGCCGGUUCAUUAGACCGGUACCCGAGACGUGAUGUUUUUCAUUUUCAAAGCCUGUUGCUCUUCUACCUUGCGAUUUUGGAAUCAAAUCAUCACUUCCAUCAAUUUAUUCUAACAUUCUACGACAGAGCGGCAACCUCCAUCGUAGUUGCGUGAUCGGGGUACGAACGACCGGUUUGUUCCCCAGAUCCUUGUUCCUUUGGCUGUACCCAGUAAUGGAAAUGAUGAUCGAUUAAUUAUCAGGAACGUAUUGGUGGAUGAUUAUAGAGAAAAUAUUGUAAUUGCAUAGUGUAAUCUUUGCUAGUGUACCAAAUUUCUUUGUUAUUUGUUGUGGUCAAUUGAAAUAAUGAUUAUACACAAUAGGAUUUCAUUCACUGAUACAAUGCAGAUGCUUGUUGGGUAGAUAAUGUCAGAGUAUGCGCAAAGAUAUCUGAAAGACAUGUUGAAUUAGGCAACGCGGGGAAAAUACGCGUUAGAUUUGCAACGCAAGUAAAAUGUAUUAUAUGAAAUCUUAAAAUCCACCUUGUAUUUUAAUGAUUGUUACAUUAACAUUUAAUUGUAUUAUUAGAUUUUCAGUAGUUCUCAGUUUUAUUUGGCACAACACAUGAAGGAAUUUCGAGGUUGCGGAGAAACAAUUAAUUUUCGUUUAAAGAUAAACAACUUGUCCGAUGCGUUAAAUCGGAUGUGACUGAAUAAGGGUGUGAUCGCUAGAAUCAGAGGAUUAUGACAUUGAUAAUUCAUUAUUUUUACAUACUUUUAAUUAUGCAAAUAUAUGUAUUUAUAAGUAGUGUUUAUUUAAGAAUUCUAAAAUAUUUUGUUAUCUUUACUGUUAUCAGGUUUUGGAAGAAAUUCUUCAAUGGCUGGAUGAAUGAGAGAAAGAAGCAAUAGAUGGCAUUAUUUCAGAUAAUUGGAGAGAUGUAUCGUAUAUAGAUCGAUCUCUAUUUUAUCCUAUACUGAACCGAUAAUGUCGCAUGUGACACUAAAAUGGUAUGGGGAACUACGUAGUUCUCGUGUCAUGGAACAUUUUUUUUGUAAUUUAUGCAAGGUCUAUCUUAUUCUUGGUCAAUAUCAAUGCUAUUAAUAAUAAUUUUGACACAUCAUAUGAUGGUCAUAAUUCACCAUCUAAGCAUAAAACAAAAACAUCUAUAUCCAUCAUCGGUAUAUUAUCGAUGACCGAUAAUAACAUUUUUCUACCAUCGGAGCAGUGACAGCUGAAAACAUUGGCUUAGGACAGAAUAAACGUGACGUUAAAUAAGACCAUAGACGGUUUCCGUAAGGAUACAUAUACAGUUGAAGAAGGACUAGAAUUCAUGUAUAUAUUAUAUUAUUCCUAUAAUAUAGUUUAUAGAUUUGUUAAUUUAUAAAUUGUUAUUGAUCGUAUCAUAAAUUAUCACGAUUCUUAUUAAUCUUUAUUAACAAAUAUUUUCACAUUUGGUUUUUAGUAUAAAAUGAAACGUUCGCAGAUUUGGAAUCAUUGCCUUAAAUUAUUAUAUAAUUCUGAAUCAUCAAUUUUCGAUACCUUUUUAUCAUUCGAGUGGGAGUUAAUCAAAAUGUUAACGUCGAAUGAAACAUAGAAACUUGUGUCUUCUUUAAUUUUACUAUACACAUAUUAACACAUAUGUGUCAUAUGUAACAAAUCAUUUAUAUUUACACAUCUUUAAUAACUUUGCGUAUGAUUUUAUCGAUUGUUGUAUAUUCUCUUCUGUCAUCCAGGAAGCCUUCCAUCGACGUUCUUCAAGCGUCGAAAAAUGAAUUCUCUUACUAGGAGAAUAGGAUGAUACAAGAGAUCAUCUAGUACUGCCAUUUUAUUUCUACUUUUCUAGUACUGCGCGUCUAUCUUAGUCACCAGGAAAACAUAAUCGUUCAGAGAAAUUAAACUACAACUUCUUGCUUUCCGUGUUCUCCUAUUAUCCUCCUCUUGCGAUUUUCUUACUAGGGGAACAAUUGAAUAAAGAAGUUGUCAUGAA